rnacentral:tRNA from 1 species
UGACGCGCUGGCGCGGGGUGGCGCCGCGCUUCGUCGGCGGGGUGAUGCUGGUCGGCGCGCUGCAGUUCGGCAUCACUUAUGUCUGCC